GUAGGAUAUAAAUAAAUUGUAUUAGUUAAAAGUUUAAUGGAAAGAUUAAGUGGAUGAUUAGUUUUGUAGGUAAAAUUUGUUAAAUUAAUUAAUUUUUUAUAGUGGGAAUUUGAGGCUUUGAAAAUUAGAUUAGAAACUAGGAUUAGAUACCCUAUUAUUUUAAUGGUAAAUAUGGGAACUUGAGUAGUAUUAGAUAAGUGCUUGAAACUCAAAGAAUUUGGCGGUGUUUUAGUCUUUUCAGAGGAAUCUGUCCUGUAAUCGAUAUUACACGUUAAAUGUUACUUAGUUUGGUAUAAUCAAUUUGUAUACCGUCGUCAUAAGAUCAUCUUUUUAGAGAAAGAAUUUUCUUAAUAUUAUAGGAUAAUAUGUCAGAUCAAGGUGCAGUUUAUAAUUAAGAAGUGAUGGAUUACAAUAAAUUUAUUUAAAUGGAUUUUCUAUUGAAAAGUGGGGAUGAAGGUGGAUUUGAAGGUAAUUUUAUCAAAUUAUGAUAGAAUGAUUAAAGCUCUAGGACAUGUACAUAUCGCCCGUCGCUCUCGUUAUUAAGAUGAGAUAAGUCGUAACAUAGUAGUUGUACUGGAAAGUGUAGCUAGAAAGUCAA
rnacentral:rRNA from 1 species